rnacentral:rRNA from 1 species
CCUACGGGAGGCAGCAGUGGGGAAUAUUGGACAAUGGGGGGAAGCCUGAAGCAGCGACGCCGCGUGAGGGAGGAAGGAUUUCGGUAUGUAAAGCUCUAUUAGCAGGGACGAAAAAAGACGGUACCUGACUAAGAAGCCCCGGCUAAAUCCGUGCCAGCAGCCGCGGUAAUACGGAGGGGGCAAGCGUUAUCCGGAUUUACGGGGUGUAAAGGGAGCGUAGACGGCAAGGCAAGCCAGAAGUGAAAGGGCAGGGCUCAACCCGGGACAUGCAUGUGGAACUGGGGUGCUUGAGUGCAGGAGAGGUAGGUGGAAUUCCUAGUGUAGCGGUGAAAUGCGUAGAUAUUAGGAGGAACACCAGUUGCGAAGGCGGCUUACUGGACUGUAACUGACGCUGAGGCUCGAAAGCGUGGGUAGCAAACAGGAUUAGAUACCCUUGUAGUC